UACGGGGGGGGCAAGCGUUGUUCGGAAUUACUGGGCGUAAAGAGCGUGUAGGCGGCCAGGUAGGUCGGUUGUGAAAACUGGAGGCUCAACCUUCAGAGGUCGACCGAAACCAUCUGGCUAGAGUCCGGGAGAGGAGAGUGGAAUUCCUGGUGUAGCGGUGAAAUGCGCAGAUAUCAGGAGGAAUACCGAUGGCGAAGGCAGGUCUCUGGGUCGAUACUGACGCUCAUGCACGAAAGCGUGGGGAGCAAACAGG
rnacentral:rRNA from 1 species